UUAAGCGACUAAGCGUACACGGUGGAUGCCCUGGCAGUCAGAGGCGAUGAAGGACGUGCUAAUCUGCGAUAAGCGUCGGUGAGGUGAUAUGAACCGUUAUAACCGGCGAUUUCCGAAUGGGGAAACCCAGUGUGAUUCGUCACACUAUCAUUAACUGAAUCCAUAGGUUAAUGAGGCGAACCGGGGGAACUGAAACAUCUAAGUACCCCGAGGAAAAGAAAUCAACCGAGAUUCCCCCAGUAGCGGCGAGCGAACGGGGAGGAGCCCAGAGCCUGAAUCAGUGUGUGUGUUAGUGGAAGCGUCUGGAAAGGCGUGCGAUACAGGGUGACAGCCCCGUACACAAAAAUGCACAUAUUGUGAGCUCGAUGAGUAGGGCGGGACACGUGGUAUCCUGUCUGAAUAUGGGGGGACCAUCCUCCAAGGCUAAAUACUCCUGACUGACCGAUAGUGAACCAGUACCGUGAGGGAAAGGCGAAAAGAACCCCGGCGAGGGGAGUGAAAAAGAACCUGAAACCGUGUACGUACAAGCAGUGGGAGCCUCUUAAUGGGGUGACUGCGUACCUUUUGUAUAAUGGGUCAGCGACUUAUAUUCUGUAGCAAGGUUAACCGAAUAGGGGAGCCGAAGGGAAACCGAGUCUUAACUGGGCGUUAAGUUGCAGGGUAUAGACCCGAAACCCGGUGAUCUAGCCAUGGGCAGGUUGAAGGUUGGGUAACACUAACUGGAGGACCGAACCGACUAAUGUUGAAAAAUUAGCGGAUGACUUGUGGCUGGGGGUGAAAGGCCAAUCAAACCGGGAGAUAGCUGGUUCUCCCCGAAAGCUAUUUAGGUAGCGCCUCGUGAAUUCAUCUCCGGGGGUAGAGCACUGUUUCGGCAAGGGGGUCAUCCCGACUUACCAACCCGAUGCAAACUGCGAAUACCGGAGAAUGUUAUCACGGGAGACACACGGCGGGUGCUAACGUCCGUCGUGAAGAGGGAAACAACCCAGACCGCCAGCUAAGGUCCCAAAGUCAUGGUUAAGUGGGAAACGAUGUGGGAAGGCCCAGACAGCCAGGAUGUUGGCUUAGAAGCAGCCAUCAUUUAAAGAAAGCGUAAUAGCUCACUGGUCGAGUCGGCCUGCGCGGAAGAUGUAACGGGGCUAAACCAUGCACCGAAGCUGCGGCAGCGACACUAUGUGUUGUUGGGUAGGGGAGCGUUCUGUAAGCCUGUGAAGGUGGCCUGUGAGGGUUGCUGGAGGUAUCAGAAGUGCGAAUGCUGACAUAAGUAACGAUAAAGCGGGUGAAAAGCCCGCUCGCCGGAAGACCAAGGGUUCCUGUCCAACGUUAAUCGGGGCAGGGUGAGUCGACCCCUAAGGCGAGGCCGAAAGGCGUAGUCGAUGGGAAACAGGUUAAUAUUCCUGUACUUGGUGUUACUGCGAAGGGGGGACGGAGAAGGCUAUGUUGGCCGGGCGACGGUUGUCCCGGUUUAAGCGUGUAGGCUGGUUUUCUAGGCAAAUCCGGAAAACCAAGGCUGAGGCGUGAUGACGAGGCACUACGGUGCUGAAGUGACAAAUGCCCUGCUUCCAGGAAAAGCCUCUAAGCAUCAGGUAACAUCAAAUCGUACCCCAAACCGACACAGGUGGUCAGGUAGAGAAUACCAAGGCGCUUGAGAGAACUCGGGUGAAGGAACUAGGCAAAAUGGUGCCGUAACUUCGGGAGAAGGCACGCUGAUAUGUAGGUGAAGCGACUUGCUCGUGGAGCUGAAAUCAGUCGAAGAUACCAGCUGGCUGCAACUGUUUAUUAAAAACACAGCACUGUGCAAACACGAAAGUGGACGUAUACGGUGUGACGCCUGCCCGGUGCCGGAAGGUUAAUUGAUGGGGUUAGCGGCAACGCGAAGCUCUUGAUCGAAGCCCCGGUAAACGGCGGCCGUAACUAUAACGGUCCUAAGGUAGCGAAAUUCCUUGUCGGGUAAGUUCCGACCUGCACGAAUGGCGUAAUGAUGGCCAGGCUGUCUCCACCCGAGACUCAGUGAAAUUGAACUCGCUGUGAAGAUGCAGUGUACCCGCGGCAAGACGGAAAGACCCCGUGAACCUUUACUAUAGCUUGACACUGAACAUUGAGCCUUGAUGUGUAGGAUAGGUGGGAGGCUUUGAAGUGUGGACGCCAGUCUGCAUGGAGCCGACCUUGAAAUACCACCCUUUAAUGUUUGAUGUUCUAACGUUGGCCCGUAAUCCGGGUUGCGGACAGUGUCUGGUGGGUAGUUUGACUGGGGCGGUCUCCUCCUAAAGAGUAACGGAGGAGCACGAAGGUUGGCUAAUCCUGGUCGGACAUCAGGAGGUUAGUGCAAUGGCAUAAGCCAGCUUGACUGCGAGCGUGACGGCGCGAGCAGGUGCGAAAGCAGGUCAUAGUGAUCCGGUGGUUCUGAAUGGAAGGGCCAUCGCUCAACGGAUAAAAGGUACUCCGGGGAUAACAGGCUGAUACCGCCCAAGAGUUCAUAUCGACGGCGGUGUUUGGCACCUCGAUGUCGGCUCAUCACAUCCUGGGGCUGAAGUAGGUCCCAAGGGUAUGGCUGUUCGCCAUUUAAAGUGGUACGCGAGCUGGGUUUAGAACGUCGUGAGACAGUUCGGUCCCUAUCUGCCGUGGGCGCUGGAGAACUGAGGGGGGCUGCUCCUAGUACGAGAGGACCGGAGUGGACGCAUCACUGGUGUUCGGGUUGUCAUGCCAAUGGCACUGCCCGGUAGCUAAAUGCGGAAGAGAUAAGUGCUGAAAGCAUCUAAGCACGAAACUUGCCCCGAGAUGAGUUCUCCCUGACCCUUUAAGGGUCCUGAAGGAACGUUGAAGACGACGACGUUGAUAGGCCGGGUGUGUAAGCGCAGCGAUGCGUUGAGCUAACCGGUACUAAUGAACCGUGAGGCUUAACCUU
rnacentral:rRNA from 2 species